GGUACGGCACGGCACGGCACGGUACGGUACGGUACGGUAGGGCCCUGCAGCCCUGCUGCCCGCUCUGCUUUCCGCUGCCCGCGCCAGCAGGCCCCAGCCCACCGCGGGGUGGAGGGGAAGGCUGUGCCGCCUACGAGGAUGCGCUCCCACGCGUGACCCUGGCCGUGGGUGCUGCCAGCGCGGGUCUUCACCUCUGCCUCCUCCUGCAGGCCUGGCUGCCGGGUCGGGGUGGCACUUGCCCCUUGGUUCCCACGGGGACAUCCCCCAGCUCUUUAUAAACAAUGCAGUAUUAAUGUUAUUAAUUAUGCAAUUUAAUUAGUGCUGUGCAGGCAGCACCAACUGCAGUUCGCUGCUGCGGCUGCCUGCCUUCGGAAAAAGCCUUUCGCUGCCCGGGGUUUUGCAGGCCCGCAGCACAGGAGCUGGUGCUGGGGAGGGCCCUGGGCUCCCGGGGAGGCGGUUACGGCAGAGGUGAGGGUUCGGCAUCACGGCCAACGCGCGCUGGCGGCCCUCCAACCGCUGGCACAGCUGCACCAGUAAACAGGAAACCCCAACACCACGGCUCCCGUGGGACCCAGAAACCCCAACGCCAAGGCAGGCAAAUGGCUCCUCCUGAAAAGCAGCAGCAGCUUGAUGCAGCGAGGGGCUGGGGUGGGAGGGGAGGUGGGUGGCAGCACCCACCACUGCCGCCCGCUCGCCUGCACCGAGGUAAUUUGAAUGCGAGCCAUGCAGAGCGCUCACCACCGCCACUGAGGUGUGGAAAUCUAGCCCAGACGAGGAGGGGUUCUUCUGCUAGCCAGUCUGGGAGGGGGGAAUGCCUUAUGAGAAGGUAGGGAAAGCAUAGACAGUAAAUCUGGCUCCUUUGGAUGUCCGCUUUGCACUCCAGGAAGGCUCUGAAAUGGAAGAGUCAUUUUCCAAGGGGAUGCAGCGAGCGUGCUCUGCCCCAGCCUGUUGGGACCCCCUGUCCUGUUCUCAUCAUCAGUAUCUCCAGCAUCACCAGCAGUCAGCACGUCCCAAGGUUUGGCGUUCCCAUGGGAAAAGAGAGUGCUAGGAUUGCAGCGACCUGGAAACAAAACAAAUCUGUAGUUUGGUCAAGGUUAGAAUUCAAAAUGUGAACUGCUGGUGGUGGUAGCAGGGCUGGGUGGGAGAACAGGCAUGCCACGUGGGAACGCAGCCUGCCAGGGUCUGUGCCCAGAGAGAAGGGCAGCAGUGCCCCUCCACAGCAACACGCUGCCCACACACCAGCUGCAGGUGGUGUUGCAUCAGAAUGGUCCCAAGAGCGCUACCAAGCACAGGCAUCCUCCUCAGCAGUGGGUACCCUGAAUGGUUCUGGUGGAAGCAGGUGGGCAGUGAUAGACCAACAGUUAAGGCAAGGGGCUGGGAGAGGGGGAGCUGCUCUAGGAGGUCAGAAAAAGCCACCUAACCACCCUAGUUUAGGAGAAUUUGGGUAUUAUCACAAGCCCUGGUGUCAGGGGCUGAGGCCUCCUGCUCCCAGAGCAGCCAGGACUGGGCGCGGGGGUGUCACCAGCCCGGGUCAGAGGCAAUAAAGCUCCUGGAGUGAUGCAGCAAAACAGGCUGGAGUCGUGUGUCGAAAUAAAUCAUCCAUGGAGGCAAGGCAGAGAGGAGGAGGAGGAUUCCUACUCUCGCGCCUCCCUGCCUCUAACAAAGCCUCAGCCCAGGCGGGCAGUGAGAGCCGGGGCAGGAGCCGGCUGGCCACGGCCCCAGCUGCCCCGCCAUGAAGCAGGUUCUGGCCAGGCACCCCAAUGCUCCAGCUCUCCCCAGAGCUGCCUUUCCCUCUUUUCCAAGCUCCCUCGGCUUCACCUUGUGUCAGGCAAUGCAUAGAGCUGCCAGGAGUGAUAAAAUGGCUGUCCCCCAAAUUUAUGGAGUUUAUCUGUGAAUAACUCUUGGAGGUGAGGGGCAAGCAAGGAGCCAGGAAAGAGGAGGGCUUUAUUUCAGGAUAUGCUUCCCCCCAGAGCAAUCCAGGGUAGGCAGGAGCCCAAUCUUAGCCCCAGGGACCAGCAGGGCUAUGCCCCACACCCCUUGGCCUUCUGGUGUUGGGGCAUCACUGGGAUGCUCACCCACGGUGGGGAAAGCCAAAGGCUCAUUUCCCAUUCCCAGCGUGUUUAUGAGGAGCUGAGUCCCGAAGAGGCUUCGGCACACGCCCGUCGCUCCCGCGGAGCGUGUUCAGCGCAGCAGGGGCUCUUGCUCUCUCCAGCCGCACGUCCGUGCCCGUGGGUUCCAUGCUGCCCGGCCGGCCGGGCGCUCCUCCCCGUGCUCCAUUCCCACCACGAGCAUAUCUCCCACCCCCACCACAAAGAAAAGCCAGAUUGUAUCAGUGGUCUGUGGAGCAGCAUCCUGAUUUUUGGGGCAGCACAGCCGAGGCUGGCCAAGGCUGGAGCCUGCCCCUGGUGGCCCCGCCCCGCUGCCUAACGUCCAUCCGAAGUCCCUGAGCCUUCUCUAAUUUUGGAGGCUGUUAGCAAAGCAGGUGCUGCUGUAGCCAAACCAGACUGCCAAUGUUUCCUUUAAAAGCUGCUUUCACUCUGAAGGACUCUUCUAGACGGUUUGCUUUUAAUAGCAGGCUGCAGGGUGCAACGCCCAGCUCGCGGCUGGGGUGCGGGAAUGGACUGGGUGUUGUGUGCGGGAUUGCAGCCGUGCAUGGAGCCGCAUCGUGGGCCAUAGCCGUGCACCACGUGCGCCCCCUUCGCGGCUGAGACCAGCAGAGUUGCCCACGCCUUUGCCAAGCCGACACCCCCACAGCCUCACCUCUUUUCCCUCACUGGCUCCCAGGGAAAUCUCUUCAGGCAGAGGGGGGCAGGUUCAGCCCCUAAUUGUGCUAAUAGCUCAAGGGAGAAGAAAAGGCUGAGGAGGAGCCGGUGGGGAAACAGGAGCCGGGAGGUCAGCGCGCUGGGAGAAGCAGGCCAGUGGCAAGGCAGGCGGAGACCAGGAGGACCGAACUCACCCAGAGUGUCUGGCACUGGAUGGAGAUGCUGUUUGAAGUGGCGUUCGGCACCUCAUCCUCGGUUCUCAUCUCCUUCUGGGGAAGGAAGAAGGACAUCUGUGGAGAAGAGCGAGGGUGCAGCAGAUGGCAGCGGGGAUGAUUCAGGGGCUUGAGGAAGGAGCUGCGACUCCAGCGGUGUCCCUGGUGGGGGGACAAGACACCUCUCCCUGCAUCCCACAGCCCACCUCCUCCCUGUGUCUGAGAGUCUGCGAGCCAAGCAGGCAUCCCAAAAAUACGUGUUCCUCUGCAUUGCAUGCUAAUGGCUCUGCUGAUAGGUCCCACCGCAAUUAAAGCACACAGAGCAUUAA